UAAAGGCCUACCAAGGCUACGAUCAGUAGCUGGUCUGAGAGGAUGAUCAGCCACACUGGGACUGAGACACGGCCCAUACUCCUACGGGAGGCAGCAGUUAGGAAUCUUGCGCAAUGGGCGAAAGCCUGACGCAGCCAUGCCGCGUGAAUGAUGAAGGUCUUAGGAUUGUAAAAUUCUUUCAGUGGGGACGAUAAUGACGGUACCCACAGAAGAAGCUCCGGCUAACUUCGUGCCAGCAGCCGCGGUAAUACGAAGGGGGCUAGCGUUGCUCGGAAUUACUGGGCGUAAAGGGCUCGUAGGCGGACAGUUUACUCAGAGGUGAAAGCCGAGGCCUCAACCUUGGAACUGCCUAUGCUACUGGCUGUCUAGAGUGCGGGAGAGGUGUGUGGAACUCCGAGUGUCGAGGUGAAAUU
rnacentral:rRNA from 1 species